GGCAACCUGCCUAUAAGACUGGGAUAACUUCGGGAAACCGGAGCUAAUACCGGAUAAUUCUUUUCCUCUCAUGAGGAAAAGCUGAAAGGCGGCUUCGGCUGUCACUUAUAGAUGGGCCCGCGGCGCAUUAGCUAGUUGGUGAGGUAACGGCUCACCAAGGCGACGAUGCGUAGCCGACCUGAGAGGGUGAUCGGCCACACUGGGACUGAGACACGGCCCAGACUCCUACGGGAGGCAGCAGUAGGGAAUCUUCCGCAAUGGACGAAAGUCUGACGGAGCAACGCCGCGUGAGUGAUGAAGGUUUUCGGAUCGUAAAACUCUGUUGUUAGGGAAGAACAAGUACGAGAGUAACUGCUCGUACCUUGACGGUACCUAACCAGAAAGCCACGGCUAACUACGUGCCAGCAGCCGCGGUAAUACGUAGGUGGCAAGCGUUGUCCGGAAUUAUUGGGCGUAAAGCGCGCGCAGGCGGUUCCUUAAGUCUGAUGUGAAAGCCCACGGCUCAACCGUGGAGGGUCAUUGGAAACUGGGGAACUUGAGUGCAGAAGAGAAGAGUGGAAUUCCACGUGUAGCGGUGAAAU
rnacentral:rRNA from 2 species